AUGGACCAAUCCAUCCCUUUUUCCCGUGCAUAUGCAUCGGACUCGGAUGACGAUGGUCCCGAUGAAGAAGUUCAUGAGGAGGGGUUCACGCCGAAGGAGGCCCAAGCAUUCAUGAAGGUAUUUGGGCGGGAUCACAAGACACCAUUGUUCAAGGAUCUUAGUCUCGCGGAUGAAGCCGUUGUGGUGUAG
rnacentral:rRNA from 1 species